GCAGGUGCGCAGGCACCGGAUACUUCGCCUGUCAAGCGGGAAACGCGGGUUCGAAUCCCGCCACCGGCU
rnacentral:tRNA from 1 species